rnacentral:rRNA from 1 species
CCUACGGGAGGCAGCAGUGAGGAAUAUUUGUCAAUGGCCGGGAGGCUGAACCAGCCAUGCCGCGUGAAGGUCAGUGCCCUAUGGGCGUUAAACUUCUUGUGUGCGGGAGCAAUAAUGGUCACGUGUGGCCAGACGAGAGUACCGUACGAAUAAGCAUCGGCUAACUCCGUGCCAGCAGCCGCGGUAAUACGGGGGAUGUAAGCGUUAGCCGGAUUGAUUGGGUUUAAAGGGUGCGUAGGCUGUGAGGUAAGUCAGCGGUGAAAUGCCCCCGCUCAACGGGGUGAAGGGCAAUUGAUACUGCGAUGAUGGAAUGCGGAUGCGGUGGGAGGAAUGUGUGGUGUAGCGGUGAAAUGCAUAGAUAU